rnacentral:lncRNA from 1 species
AUGAUCUUCUGUCAGUCUCAGGGAUUUCAGCUCCAGGAAAGGAAAGAUUGAUCCAGCAGAUUAUAAUCACCACUGUACGAGACAGCGAAAGCAACGAUCUUCCCUGUAGCGGAAUGCCAGCUACUCUGGGACUCAUCAUCACCUUCAGCUGUGCUGGGAAGUCGUGGUGACUUAGCUCAGGUAUCACUGUGUCUCAUCAUGCUCCUGUGAUGCAAGGCACUGUUUUUUAAUAGGUGCUACGGUGGCAACUCCCAACCCAUGCUAAAACAACCAAAUGCUUCAGAGUUUCCAGAAUCAUCCUCAUUUCAGCCUUUUACUUCCCAUAAAAAGAGAAAUAAAGUGAAACUGAGGCUCACAUUUCCUCUCCAGACACUCCUGAUUUUUGGACUCUUUCUGUAGGACAGAGCAGCCAUCCCUGGACCAGUUCCUGGGGGAUGCUCUGCCCUCCCAGUGCCAUUGUGAAGUAGCAGCUGUACACCUCCAGACUAGGUGCCAUAUCAUGUCACAGUCACUGUGGUGCCAUAUCAUGUCACAGUCACUGUGGAUUCACAGAACUGAGACAUGCAGCAGUACCUCACAGCUCUUGUGUGGUUUCCCUCUCACAUGGGACACAGGACAGAGCCAGUUUGUAGCAAGAGAGGAGUCUGGACAAAGGCUGGUCAUAAAUUACCAAGCUUUUGCAGGGUUUGGAAUUGCUACAGAACUACAAGCAGAACUUCAAGCAAAGAAUCACUCCAGACUUCAUGCUAGAAAAGUAUAUGCUUAGUAGUGAAAGAGAAUCAUCAGAAUCUCUAAAAAUUCC